AGACCCGAAACCCGGUGAUCUAGCCAUGGGCAGGUUGAAGGUUGGGUAACACUAACUGGAGGACCGAACCGACUAAUGUUGAAAAAUUAGCGGAUGACCUGUGGCUGGGGGUGAAAGGCCAAUCAAACCGGGAGAUAGCUGGUUCUCCCCGAAAGCUAUUUAGGUAGCGCCUCGUGAAUUCAUCUCCGGGGGUAGAGCACUGUUUCGGCUAGGGGGCCAUCCCGGCUUACCAACCCGAUGCAAACUGCGAAUACCGGAGAAUGUUAUCACGGGAGACACACGGCGGGUGCUAACGUCCGUCGUGAAGAGGGAAACAACCCAGACCGCCAGCUAAGGUCCCAAAGUCAUGGUUAAGUGGGAAACGAUGUGGGAAGGCCCAGACAGCCAGGAUGUUGGCUUAGAAGCAGCCAUCAUUUAAAGAAAGCGUAAUAGCUCACUGGUCGAGUCGGCCUGCGCGGAAGAUGUAACGGGGCUAAACCAUGCACCGAAGCUGCGGCAGCGACGCUGAUGCGUUGUUGGGUAGGGGAGCGUUCUGUAAGCCUGCGAAGGUGGCCUGUGAGGGUUGCUGGAGGUAUCAGAAGUGCGAAUGCUGACAUAAGUAACGAUAAAGCGGGUGAAAAGCCCGCUCGCCGGAAGACCAAGGGUUCCUGUCCAACGUUAAUCGGGGCAGGGUGAGUCGACCCCUAAGGCGAGGCCGAAAGGCGUAGUCGAUGGGAAACGGGUUAAUAUUCCCGUACUUGGUGUUACUGCGAAGGGGGGACGGAGAAGGCUAUGUUGGCCGGGCGACGGUUGUCCCGGUUUAAGCGUGUAGGUGUGUGUUCCAGGUAAAUCCGGUUCACUUUAACACUGAGGCGUGAUGACGAGGCACUACGGUGCUGAAGCAACAAAUGCCCUGCUUCCAGGAAAAGCCUCUAAGCAUCAGGUAACAUCAAAUCGUACCCCAAACCGACACAGGUGGUCAGGUAGAGAAUACCAAGGCGCUUGAGAGAACUCGGGUGAAGGAACUAGGCAAAAUGGUGCCGUAACUUCGGGAGAAGGCACGCUGACACGUAGGUGAAGUGAUUUACUCAUGGAGCUGAAGUCAGUCGAAGAUACCAGCUGGCUGCAACUGUUUAUUAAAAACACAGCACUGUGCAAACACGAAAGUGGACGUAUACGGUGUGACGCCUGCCCGGUGCCGGAAGGUUAAUUGAUGGGGUCAGCGCAAGCGAAGCUCCUGAUCGAAGCCCCGGUAAACGGCGGCCGUAACUAUAACGGUCCUAAGGUAGCGAAAUUCCUUGUCGGGUAAGUUCCGACCUGCACGAAUGGCGUAAUGAUGGCCAGGCUGUCUCCACCCGAGACUCAGUGAAAUUGAACUCGCUGUGAAGAUGCAGUGUACCCGCGGCAAGACGGAAAGACCCCGUGAACCUUUACUAUAGCUUGACACUGAACAUUGAGCCUUGAUGUGUAG
rnacentral:rRNA from 4 species